ensembl:lncRNA
CCAGACAGAUGUGUUUUUUUCUUUUUUUAGUUAUUAUUGCUUAUUCUUCCUCUUAACCUAUAAGGAUCUUAAAUAUAUUUUUGGCUAGAGUGAAAACUUAAACUCUUUCAUAUGCAUAACUUGGAAUUCUCUGAUUUUCCCCAUAACUUAACUGAAAGUUAGGAGUUUGGUGAGCUCAAACAUGCUUCGUUUGUUUUUUUUUCAAGCCAAGGCUGUUGUGACGCACAGAAUGACUGUUGUCACCAGGGGAUGUGACUUUUUAUUAAAAGGAGAACAACCCCUUUAAUUUGCCUAACAACACUCCAUGUUGGGUUAAAAAUCAUUACUCCUAUUUUAUAGAUGAAGAAUGCAAUGUUCAGAGAAGUUAAUAAUUUAAUAAUAAUCAGAGUUCCCAUCGUGGCGCAGCAGAAAUGAAUCUGACUAGGAACCAUGAAGUUGCGGGUUUGAUCCCUGGACUUGCUCUGUGGGUUAAGGAUCUGGCGUUGCUGUGAGCUGUGGUGUAGGCCAGCAGUUGUAUUUCUAAUUGGACCCUUUGCCUGGGAACUUCCAUAUGCCAGGGAUAUGGCCCUAAAAAGCAAAAUUAAUUAAUUAAUUAAAAAUAAUAAUUUAGUGGAGUUCCUGUCGUGGCUCAGUGGUUAACGAAUCCGACUAGGAACCAUGAGGUUGCGGGUUCGGUCCCUGCCCUUGCUCAGUGGGUUAAGGAUCCGGCGUUGCCGUGAGCUGUGGUGUAGGUCACAGACGCGGCUCGGAUCCUGCAUUGCUGUGGCUCUGGCGUAGGCUGGCAGCUACAGCUCUGAUUAGACCCCUAGCCUGGGAACCUCCAUAUGCCACGGAAGCGGUCUAAGAAAUGGCAGAAAGACAAAAAAAAUAAAAAAUUUAAAAAAAUAAUUUAUCAAAACUUCUCAACUAUGGGAAAGUAAUGGGGUCUUUUAUUUGGAUUAUAGUGCAAAGAACAUGGACUUGUUCUUUACUAAGUAGAAGUGGGACUUUGAGCAAAUCCCUUAACCUAUCUGGGUAGAUUUCUGUAAAUAUAAAAUUUAAAGAAUGACUAGAUUAAACACACAAGUAUUUCUUUAUCUGUUACACGAUUCUCAGAUAUUGAAAACCAGACUGAGAAUACCUUUAGAAUGGUUCUGAAUAAAAGCAGUCUCUUCAGGCAGUUUCACAGUUCAUGAGAGUUUGAAGGAUCCAUGCACCACUAUCAUUAAGAUUAUGGAUUAUCACAGUAAGAAGCAGAGAUAGGACAUUAACUGUGUACUAAAUCAGAUUCGUAAAUUAUUCUCCAAAUUCUAUAAAAGGUACUGAACUUACAUGAGCUAAUAAACUAGGGGCUCAAAGGCUUUCUUCAAGGCUUCCUUUUCUCAGUAAGAUGGGAUCUCAAAGCAAAUUUGCCGAAUAUCAUCACUAUGAACUUCAAAACUUGCGUGGUGGAAGUCAUACCCCGCUGAGAGUUCACAAUUCAAACAUAAGGAGUUUGAGUUCACAAUCGUAGCUGGUUUCCAGCCAUUUGGGAGCAGCGUGUGUGCUUUUCAUAGAAACUUUUCACCUUUGCCCUAAGACUAGAGUCAUCACGAUCUCAAUUCCAAACCUGCACCUAGCUGGGCUUUGCUGUCAUUCCCCAAGGCAUUGACCCUCUAGACGAAGUGGACAGACAGUCAGGCCUCUGCGUGCAGCUUACAGGUCUGCUGGCCUUUGACACCAGACCCUGAUUGUUCACCUGUACUUUCUGAAUCAUCUGUCACAUGGGUGAUCUGUUUCCAUGAAGACAUACUAGCUGAUGCCUUCACUCAUCCUGAGUUUACCAGUUGCUGUAUUUCAAGAAGCAGAAAUAGUUGAAGAAAAAGCAAGUCAGUCACCAUGACACUAAAAAAUAAUCUUACGCAUUUUGGAAGCAGGUAUGCUAGUGCAUGUGUCGAGGCAGUGUGAUGUCUAGGAAAAAGCAAGGACUACGGAGCUGGAGGCACGUGGAUUUGAAUCCUGUCUCUGCCGUUACAGGCCAUGUGAAAGUAGGGAAGAUACGUGACUUCUCUUAUUUUUCAUUUGUAAGUGGAGUCCAGAAAGCCAGUCUCAUAUAGUUGUUGUGUGGAUUAAAUGAAUGUAUGUAGAGGCCUCAUGUGAAACGUGGCAUAGAGUCUUUGGUUAGAUUUUCUAUGCUGAUCCUCCCCCUUCGUUAGGGAGAUAAUUGUGGGUGACCGAAAUGAAAAAGGGUAAGUUCAAGAACUGGGAACCUGCCAAUAAAAUUCAGACCUUACUAAACUUAAGUUUAACUCUGUUUCACUUUAUGAUUAGAGUUUUUAAGUCAUAGUUAAGAUAUUCAGUCUAGUUUAUAAAGUCUCAGUGAUAUGAUGAUGGCUCAUAAAUACCUUCUCCAUUUAAUCUGGGUUGCAACUUCAAUUUCCUAAUUAAAAAUGGUGAAACUUCAAGGGGUGGAUAAGUGACAGGUAGCUUCUGUAGUGAUCCUUUCUUAGGAAAUGUGAAUUACUUUGUACAGAAGAUAAUAUUACACACAGACUUUUAAAAAUCCCUUACCAUACAGACUGACUAGAUGAUGAUUUUGGUGAUUUUUCUUCUUUUUCUUCUAUUAUGAAUCCACAGGAAAUAGUUUAGCAUUUAUCACCUUGUAAAAUUUAAUGGAAAGUUUUAGGAAAAGUUAAGAAGAUAGUAUUAACCAGGUGUGAUGGUUGGAAUUUCAGUCAUGAUUUUGGCUCUCUAUGUAUUUGAAAAUGUAGAUGAUUAUAUGGUAAUUAGUAAGAACAGCCUAUAACAGAGUCACCUUGUUUUAGGGAACUGUUUCACUGUUUAAGAAAAUCAAUCUAGUUUUAUACUCUGGACAUCUUCCAAAUUGUAGCUCCCAUAGAGACCUUUCUUUCCUGUAGGAUUACCUGCUCAGUUAAGAAACAGUCUCAGAUAUUUUUUCUUCACUUGCAAGAAACCUAUUGCCUGGUAAAACUUCAGAAGUGACCUUUCUUUUCUGACAACAGAUGGCAGUGUUUUCAGGGACAAUGGUCGUGUAUUUAUUAACUACCAAGGAAUCUUACCCUCCGUUUCUCUCUUUAACCACCCCCAUCAGGAACUGGUAUGCAUAGGAUCACUUGGACCUCAUAGGA